AAACUGGAAGGUUCCCAGCAGCUGGAGUUCCCAGCACUCCCUAAAGCAAAGAGGUGGUAGUGAGCAGAAAACUCCAUGCAAGCCCGGGACCCAGCACUGGGCUGUUUCUCCCUGGCCUCUAGGAGGGAUAACAACUGCUGCAAAUGCCUCCAAAGAGGAAGUGGAGCUGAAGAGACAAUCUCUCCAGAAACCAACUGCAGCACUGGGGCAUGGCUGGGAAUUAGCCCUGGUCUACACCAGGGUGGGGUGGUGUCGUCGAUGUAAGAAUUCUAAAGAAAAACAAGUUAAGUGCUUCUGGCUGUAGACAGAACGAAGUACAUAAGCAUCUGGAAAAGUGAACAACAUCUGUGUCACCAUGUACAAAGAAGCAAGCACAUUGCAGAUGAUAUGCUCUACAAUUUGUAAAGGAAGGGCCAACUGACACGGUACUUAAAAUGCUGGUAGCUUGUCUACACUAAGACGCUCUAGGUUGCUCCUUCUAGUGUUAAGAAGUCUGAGAAAUGUUACAAAAUUUCCCUAGUGCAGAUAAGGCUUGAUUUUUAAAUUGGUGUCCCUUUAAAUCCUUGGAGAUAGCACAGCAUUCACAUUAAAAAAAUUGGACAAAUGAAGUCGUCAUUGAAAGCAGGAGGCUUUUAAAUCACUCAGUUACAACACAUUGCAACAAACUUUAAAUCUGGUGUAAGAGUUAAAUCAAUAAUGAAUCUAAUAUGACACAAUUUUGCAAUCAAAGGAAUUGCAUAGUUAAAUCACUAAGAGGUGCUACGCAAAAAUGGUAGUUUUCUUACUCCAUAGAUUUGUGCCUUGUGUGUAGCCUGAGUAACAUCUGCCCACUAUAUACUGGCAAAAGUGAUCACUACUUCCUCCUUACUCACUCCACUACUAACUAUAUUUGCUGUGCAGUGAUAUGGGAGCAUCAGCUAGAUUCUACUCUGUUUCAUGCAUCAGACUUAAAUCCAUUCCAAUUUCAGAAUUAAAAUACUGCUGAGGAGCCAAAAAGUUCCAGCUGAAUUUCAAAACCCAGUUUGCCAAACAUCAAUUAUUUUCAUUUGUAAGUUAACAAAUUUGUAACUGAUAACAUGGAAUAUCACAAUGCCAUUUUCAGACAAACAUUUUAAGAAGUUUAAUCAGCCUUGAAAGUUGCAUUAAUGCAUUUUUCCCCAUUUAAAACCAUAAAGAAUGUUAUAUCAUAGUCUCUUACAAUGCACAUAUAAUGUAGAAAAGAAAUUAGACAAGUUACCAGGUAGAAAACCAAGCUGCACUGGGCUGCAGAAAGACUCUAGGCCCCAUUCCUUUUCACUUUUAAAUGGAGUAUUUGUACUGACAAUAAAUCUUUCCUAAAAGACUUCACCUGAAGUCCUGGCCCCAGUGAGAUCAAUAGUAAAACUCACACUGAGUGCAACAGGACCAGAAUUUCACCCUUAGUAUUUUAGAACAAGUGAGGUCAUAAACAUUAUAUAAAUAAAUAAGGGUCUGGCUUGCACCAUAGCUGCUGCACUGCAGUAACAAGAUCUUCCUAACCCUGUUCGGACAAGCUUCAGUUGGAGCCAAUAGCAGAAAACUCCUGCCCAGAUCCUGAGGAUAUGGGGCUCAGGGCAAAAUUGCAGUACAAUCAUAUCAUCGCUCCAAGUUGGAGAAGGAAGAUUUAGACAACGUCUUAAAUUUCAGUUUUAAAAGUAAAAGUUUCUGGUGAUUAGCUGAUCUGUUAUGAAAUGUCCAGGAUUCCAUAGUAUCUGCGAGUUCUUGUGACCAAGCAUAUACUGAAUCUGUGUGGUAAGCAAAACACAGCUAGAUUCGGAAGCAAAGAAAUUGUUUAAUGGAGUCUAAAAUCCCACCAGGCAUCUGACCAGUUUGCCUAAAUUUGCAUUCCACACCACAACGUAUUAUAACAAUGUAAGUUUAACCAUAAUGUCUGGAAAUCAAUGCUAUAAAGGAUCAAGAGACAGUUUCACUUACUGGAAAUAAGAGUGCAGCCAAAGUUGUUUCUGUGCAGUUUGUAUACUGUACGGAAGAGAGCCACCAGCUCAAAAGAAAAGAAACAAUGUUAUCAACACUGGUAUUUGAUUUUUGAAAGACAUUUUGAAAAGAGUACAAAAAUACAUUCUCAGUAAAUAAUGAGGGGGUAGAGGAAUACAUUAGCUCCAUUUGCAUCUCAAAAUGUUCUUUUGAAAAACAAAUCAGAAGCCUCCUGUGAUACUAAAUGGUUUGUCUCGUCAGAAAGAAAAAAUUUAAAACACAGAUCCCCAAACACGAAGUAACCAAUUUACACCAGAAAAUGAAUUCAAAAAUAUCAGAUUAAUGAUUCACAGUUCAGUCCCUUUUUAAGAUACCUCUGUGGAUAUUUUUCCUUAUUAUGCCCAAUGGAGCGCGUAGCCCAUAAUCAAGUCCAUAGAUAGAUUAGCAUUAUUCACUUACACAAGAAACAGUGAACAAGAAAGCUUCAGACAGAUCAGUGACCAUUUUAUGAGGCAGCACUUUAGAACAUGGGUAUCACAUGCUAGACAUUGAGAUAUGACAUUUCUGAAAAUGUGGUCUGUGCCCAACUUUGAAACAUGCACACUGACUUCAGGAAUAUGGACCUGGGAAGAAUGAACUUAACUGUAGAGCUUGGAAUGUUAAAAUAUCACCUGAGCAACCAUUACCACUCCCUGGCUAAGUAUUCCAUUACGUUCCAUGUCUAAGCCCUAGCUGAACAUGAAUCACGCCUUCUACUAUUCUUGCUUGCAAAACUCAGUGUAAAGAAGACUUUUGUAUAAACACAAGUACAUCCAAAUCAUUUAGUUUGUUGCCAGAUCCCACAUACCCCUAAGUCAUAGUUGUGAUCUGGAAUAGUAUUCUGUGUCUGACGUGCAAACUGGACUAAUAGAUUUGUAAUUUACAUGCCAAUACAUAGAAAGCUUUGCAGUGCUGGUGUCUGAGCUCCAAAAACAAAUCAGAAGAUGGCUGGCCGGCCAAUAACCCAACAGUCUUCCCAACACAGCCAGCAGCUUGAGGCUCAUUCAGAAGAAACACUGAUCAAUGAAACAUUUACACAUUAUCUUACAAUGCAUUAUCACAAAAACUUUAGAAAUAAUUUUUCUAUUCAUUUAUUUACCAGGAUAUCCUUCCAAACUUUGCCUCACAUUGUCCACAGUAGGGUAAAUCUUUAAAAAAGAAAAAAGUAAUAAUCAAACCAAGCUAAUUGAAAUAAUGCAGUUCUACUAAAAUAUUACUAACUUUGAAAUAAAGAUAUUAGGAUCCUAUUUUUUUAAACAUUGAAUGUUCUUGCAAGUCACAUUCCUAGCAAAUAAUGUGGAAUAAAAGGACACACUCCUCCAGGAAAGCAAGAAAAGACUGAACACAAUACAGGAGUCUGAGAAUUAAAAAAAAAAAAAAAAAGCUACAAACUAAAUUUCAUUGGAAUUAAACUAACCAAAGUGGAAAAUUAGUCAUGAACCAGUAACAAACGUUCAACACUUACACUAUCAGUUAUCUUAUACUGCUGCUGGGUGAAUAUCCAUGACAUUCAGGGUUAAAAGGAGCAGCGACUCCAACAAACGUAUUUCAAGUAAUGCCCCUGAGAUCAUAGUGGGCUCUUCCCUGACUGAUCAGUCUAUUCUUAACUUCUAGUUUACAAGACUCUGUCCUUGCUUUUUUUUUCUCUUGUACCUAAGAUAAUAGAGGAGUGCAAGUGACAUGGAUACUGCCACUUGAGGAGAUACACAAAGAGGGGAUUAUA